rnacentral:rRNA from 1 species
GACGAACGCUGGCGGCGUGCUUAACACAUGCAAGUCGAACGAAAAUACCAAGCUUGCUUGGUUGAUUAGUGGCGAACGGGUGAGUAACACGUGAGUAACCUGCCCCUUACUUUCCUGGAUAACUGCUCGAAAGGGUAGCUAAUACGGGAUAUUCUGACCAGUCUGCAUGGGUUGGUUUGGAAAGGUUGUUUUUCUGGUAAGGGAUGGGCUCGCGGCCUAUCAGCUUGUUGGUGGGGUGAUGGCCUACCAAGGCUUUGACGGGUAGCCGGCCUGAGAGGGUGGACGGUCACACUGGGACUGAGAUACGGCCCAGACUCCUACGGGAGGCAGCAGUGGGGAAUAUUGCACAAUGGGCGCAAGCCUGAUGCAGCGACGCCGCGUGAGGGAUGAAGGCCUUCGGGUUGUAAACCUCUUUCGUCAGGGAACAAGGCACUACGUUUUGGUGGUGUUGAGGGUACCUGGAUAAGAAGCGCCGGCUAACUACGUGCCAGCAGCCGCGGUAAUACGUAGGGCGCAAGCGUUGUCCGGAAUUAUUGGGCGUAAAGAGCUCGUAGGCGGCUGGUCGCGUCUGUCGUGAAAACUUCCGGCUCAACCGGGGGCUUGCGGUGGGUACGGGCCGGCUAGAGUGCGGUAGGGGUAACUGGAACUCCUGGUGUAGCGGUGGAAUGCGCAGAUAUCAGGAAGAACACCGAUGGCGAAGGCAGGUUACUGGGCCGUUACUGACGCUGAGGAGCGAAAGCGUGGGGAGCGAACAGG